rnacentral:misc_RNA from 1 species
CAACCCUCAGGCCCUGCCUGGCGUUGGAGGACUGCGCACGCAGCCUCCCAAAGCGAGCGGCGGCGGCGCCCCGAAACCGAACGCAGUAGUUACUUCUCGUUCCGGGUCCGGGUCGUUGUCCUGCCGGAAAACCCCCCUCUAAUCAAU